rnacentral:rRNA from 1 species
GAUGAACGCUGGCGGCGUGCCUAAUACAUGCAAGUCGAGCGAACAGACGAGGAGCUUGCUCCUCUGACGUUAGCGGCGGACGGGUGAGUAACACGUGGAUAACCUACCUAUAAGACUGGGAUAACUUCGGGAAACCGGAGCUAAUACCGGAUAAUAUAUUGAACCGCAGGGUUCAAUAGUGAAAGACGGUUUUGCUGUCACUUAUAGAUGGAUCCGCGCCGCAUUAGCUAGUUGGUAAGGUAACGGCUUACCAAGGCAACGAUGCGUAGCCGACCUGAGAGGGUGAUCGGCCACACUGGAACUGAGACACGGUCCAGACUCCUACGGGAGGCAGCAGUAGGGAAUAUUCCGCAAUGGGCGAAAGCCUGACGGAGCAACGCCGCGUGAGUGAUGAAGGUCUUCGGAUCGUAAAACUCUGUUAUUAGGGAAGAACAAAUGUGUAAGUAACUAUGCACGUCUUGACGGUACCUAAUCAGAAAGCCACGGCUAACUACGUG